ensembl:lncRNA novel transcript
UGAAGCAACGUUCCCAGCCACCGCAGGCAGUUGUCGGCGACUUUCUGAUAUAAAAAUAAAAAUGAAGUCACCAGCCCUCAGGGGUCUGUCAAGGCAACACACAAAAUCUCCAGUUACCUUCUGGUGGAUGACGUUUGGAGACACAUCGCGUCCGUCACAGGACACACUUCCGAUGGAUUUACAGCAACUCCUGGGGGUCACGAAGGUGUGUUCCAAGGCCACAUCUCCAACCUCACAGAGAGGACAGGAAGUGAUCAGUACCCCAACUAGCAAGAGUGGCCCGUUCAUUGGCCGAGGUUCUUGAGGAUAGAGUGGGAGGUGGGAGCGUCCCUCGUGCUGCCUUCAUUUUUCCUACCCUCAGCUCAGGGGUCUGUGCUAGAGGAAGACACACGAAGGCUACUGUGCCCCCACCACAAGAGAGGGAAACAGGGAGACGCGUGGGUCUGGAGCCAAGCGUAUCUCUCUGUACCCAUCGCACACGAAUUUGAAUCAUCUGCUCUUUGGAAUCGCCUACACCCUGCUGCACCCACGAUGUGGCUGUAACUCCAUUAAAGAAUUGAAUAUCAUCUUCCACGGAAUCUCUGUCUGCACAAAAGGGGCACAUUUAAUUUUCUGUUUUUUAAAUAAAGGUUUAAAAAAUCCUUUUGCAAAGCGA